UCCGCGUGAGUGAAGAAGGCCUUCGGGUUGUAAAGCUCUUUYGCAAGGGAAGAAAACUUACACAAUAAUACUGUGUGAGGCUGACGGUACCUUGAUAAGAAGCACCGGCUAACUACGUGCCAGCAGCCGCGGUAAUACGUAGGGAGCGAGCGUUAAUCGGAAUUACUGGGCGUAAAGCGUGCGCAGGCGGUUUUGUAAGUCAGAUGUGAAAUCCCCGAGCUCAACUUGGGAACUGCGUUUGAAACURCAARACUAGAAUAUGUCAGAGGGGGGUAGAAUUCCACGUGUAGCAGUGAAAUGCGUAGAGAUGUGGAGGAAUACCAAUGGCGAAGGCAGCCCCCUGGGAUAAUAUUGACGCUCAUGCACGAAAGCGUGGGGAGCAAACAGGAUUAGAUACCCUGGUAGUCCACGCCCUAAACGAUGUCUACUAGUUGUUGGUGGAGUAAAAUCCAUGAGUAACGCAGCUAACGCGUGAAGUAGACCGCCU
rnacentral:rRNA from 1 species